CUUGGUCACCAGUGAGCCCAAGCCCAAGUACAUGUACAAGUACAAGUACUCAAAAUAAUCCAAACGUCAUUGCUACGUGAAAAAUCACGUAACAUCAAAAAAUGGUUCAUUUGCUUCAUUUUACCUGACGCAGAUAACCCUUACCAAGGCAAUCAUAAACAUCAAAUGAUGUGCCUGUUACCAUAACGAAAUUGCCCAAUAUUCCUUAAAUGAAAGUCACAUACCCAGUCCAGUUCAUUUCCAUAACUUCAUUUUGCAUUCACUCAAUGCCGCACUGAACUAGCUUUCAAAAUAUCAAGAUGGCGGAAUUGUAAACAAAUAGCAGUAUUCUUAAUUUGGUUUUUUUUUUUAGCAUUUUCAUCACAUUAUGAAUAAUUUUCGGGUGCCGUCAUCAAGCUGUCAUGCCAUCGAAGAAAUAACCUCCCCCGGAAGGACUUAUCAAGAUAUGGAGAAGUUAUACUCAACUAAAAUUUGAGCUGAGGAGCGCCUAAUUUCACAUUAUCAAUUUUCAUUCAACUGAACGGGAGUGAAUUUUAAGCAAACCCAUUAAAGUGUGUGAAAUUCUACAUAUGAUUUUAAAUAAACGAAUCUCCUUUCAUGAUUACGUCCAGGAAUACGUUUGCAUUGCUGUACUUUCGUAUACUUUCAAUCCGGUCGAUCCGGCCACGAUACUGCUGCCAAGCAAUAUAGCACUUGCUGGCUUUGUUUAGUGUGCUCAACAGGAACAGACCCAUUUGAUUUUGCUGGGAAACGGUGCGUUUCCCUGCAAAAUCAGUUGGAUCUAUUGGGUACAGUGAACAAAGCCAGCAAUUGCGCUAUCUUGGAAUGCAGUGUUUCCUACAUAUUUCAUUAUUAACAAUAAUAGGACGCUAUGUAAAAACUACAGGCGUGCUCUGUAACAGGUACAGAAAAAGUCCGUAGUUGUUACGUGGAAAAUCACGUAGAUAUUACGAGAAAGGUCAAUGGAAUGAUUGUUCAUGGAUGAAUACUGAGUUCAUCUCUUGCCACUUGUGUUUCACGUAGGUACUACGUGAAAAGUGCGAUGGAAAAAAAUCACGUAUGUUUUCACGUAACAAUGACGUUUGGAUUGUUUUCAGUG